rnacentral:rRNA from 1 species
UGGGUAACCUGCCUCAAAGAGGGGAAUAGCCUCCCGAAAGGGAGAUUAAUACCGCAUAAUAUGUUUAAGUCGCAUGACUUUAACAUCAAAGGAUUUUCUUUUAGAAAUUCCACUUUGAGAUGGACCCGCGGCGCAUUAGCUAGUUGGUGAGGUAACGGCUCACCAAGGCAACGAUGUGUAGCCGACCUGAGAGGGUGAUCGGCCACAUUGGAACUGAGACACGGUCCAGCU